rnacentral:rRNA from 1 species
AGAGACCGGCGCACGGGUGCGUAACGCGUAUGCAAUCUACCUUUUACAGGGGAAUAGCCCAGAGAAAUUUGGAUUAAUGCCCCAUAGUAUGAUUGAAUGGCAUCAUUUAUAACUAAAGUUCCAACGGUAUAAGAUGAGCAUGCGUCCCAUUAGUUAGUUGGUAAGGUAACGGCUUACCAAGACGAUGAUGGGUAGGGGUCCUGAGAGGGAGAUCCCCCACACUGGUACUGAGACACGGACCAGACUCCUACGGGAGGCAGCAGUGAGGAAUAUUGGUCAAUGGGCGCAAGCCUGAACCAGCCAUGCCGCGUGCAGGAAGAAGCAUCUAUGGUGUGUAAACUGCUUUUAUACAGGAAGAAACAACGCUACGUGUAGCGUCUUGACGGUACUGUAAGAAUAAGGACCGGCUAACUCCGUGCCAGCAGCCGCGGUAAUACGGAGGGUCCAAGCGUUAUCCGGAAUCAUUGGGUUUAAAGGGUCCGUAGGCGGCCUUAUAAGUCAGUGGUGAAAUCUCCUAGCUCAACUAGGAA